CAUCCACCAAUGGCAUUUUCCGGCGAGUUAACGUCACACCAGGAAGUGAACGUUCUCGUCUUGUGUGAACGUGUGAAGUCUUCACGGAGAAACUUUCAGAUGCGAUGUCCCAACAAGAAUCUGCCAGUAGGCUACCACAUUACACCUCAGCAGGCACACCAGAGAAGGACCACUCCUGGAUAAGGAUUUGAGCUACUGUCACGACUGCCAUCUACACUAUAUUACACACGGCAGCAGAUGUGGGAGGUGGUGAUCAACGUGACUCGUGAGCAGGUGGAGGACUUCCACGGCCCCGCAGACUACUGCUUCCUGUGUGUGGCCUGGAGCCACCUGAGGACCUCCAAGAGCUGGCAAGGACACGGUCCGCAUCGCCCAACAUGGACAAACAGGGUGCCCAUCAUCAGCUGCUGUGACGGGCCUUCCAUGGUGUUGCUGUGAUUAUUGCAAGGACAAACAAAAACUGUUUUGUUUGGUUUAUACAAACCAAAACAAUAUGUA